rnacentral:miRNA from 1 species
UAGGGUGACCAAGUUGUCCUGGUUUUCCCAGGACUACCCUGGUUUUAGUACUGAGGGGCCAGCCUCCUGGGAAACCCCCUCAGUCCUGGGCAAAACAGGAUGACUGGCCACCCUGCAUCUUA